UACAGACAUUCCUUUGGAAAAGGGCCCAUUUUUCUUUCAGAAUGGCUGCAAAGAAACCAAGAAUGCUCUUUCUCUAACACUUUUCCUUUUUAACAUUUUCGGUUAAAAGUUGUUUGGGUGAAAUACAAAGUUUAACUGCUUAAUUCCCUCCAGCCUCUGCAGAGUUAACUUUUUUUUUUUACUCUCUUUUCUCUUUAAAAAAAGAAAAGGAGGACUUGUGGCACCUUAGAGACUAACCAAUUUAUUUGAGCAUGAGCUUUCGUGAGCUACAGCUCACUUCAUCACUUAAUCACUUUGUAAUUAUGCCUGGGGGUGCCGUACAUAGGACCUUCUCCCCCUUUACCUGCCUCCCUCCAGCCUCUGCAGAGUUAACUUUUUCACUCUUUUUGUAUUUCUGGAGUGCCUCUUUCACUAUUUUCAGCUGGCUUUGGGUAUUUGUAGCCAGCACCUUCCAAUUGUCUGCUCCCUUUUCCGUUUGUGCCUUUUCCUCUUUACAUGAAGACAAGCGGAGGGAAGAAUCCUUACAUGCCUCUCACAACAACCAAAUUGCUGCUGCAUCUCUUUUGGCAGCACUAGAAGGUUUAUAUAAGAGGAUAUACUGAGCCAAUCUAUCCUCUAGGUCCGAAAUAGUGCAGACAUCAGCUAGGGCUUGUUUAGUCUAAGGACUGUGCCCAAAUUUUUGAAGGAUUUGUUUAAAAGGUGUAAUUUCUUUAACAAAAGGUGAGGUUGGAGUUCCUUCUGACUCCAUUCCUCCCUCUGGUACUGGCUUACCCUGUUUUCUUUUAAACAUCUUAACAUGGAUAUUUCAAACUCUUUGUCACUGCUGGUAUUACUUAGCAAGUGACACAGCCUAGAUUCUGAAAUCAUAGCUUAAUCUAUGCGUUUUUCCCCUGCUACCUUCCCGGAGGCCAGCAGGUCCCCUGCUACCUUCCCAGAGGCCAGCAGGUCCAGUUAACCUAUUUCUCCCUGCUACCUUCUCGGAGGCCAGCAGGUCCGGUUAACCUGUUCUUCCCUGCUACCUUCUCGGAGGCCAGCAGGUCCCCUGCUACCUUCCUGGAGGCCAGCAGGUCUAGUUUAAUCUGUUUUCCCUGCUACCUUCUCGGAGGCCAGCAGGUCCCCUGCUACCUUCUCGGAGGCCAGCAGGUCUGGUUUAAUCUGUUUUUCCUGCUACCUUCUC